rnacentral:rRNA from 1 species
AACGAACGCUGGCGGCGUGCCUAACACAUGCAAGUCGAACGUGAUUAGAGAGCUUGCUCUCUAUGAAAGUGGCGCACGGGUGAGUAACGCGUAGAUAAUCUGCCUGAUGAUCCGGGAUAACACUUCGAAAGGGUGCUAAUACCGGAUAAGCCCACGGGGUCCUUGGACUCUGCGGGAAAAGGGGGGGAUCGCAAGACCUUCCGUCAUCAGAUGAGUCUGCGUACCAUUAGCUAGUUGGUAGGGUAAAGGCCUACCAAGGCGACGAUGGUUAGCUGGUCUGAGAGGAUGAUCAGCCACACUGGAACUGAGACACGGUCCAGACUCCUACGGGAGGCAGCAGUGGGGAAUUUUGCGCAAUGGGGGAAACCCUGACGCAGCAACGCCGCGUGAGUGAUGGAGGCCCUUGGGUCGUAAAGCUCUGACAGAGGGAAAGAAGUGUACGGUGGCUAAUAUCCAUUGUACUUGACGGUACCCUCGAAGGAAGCACCGGCUAACUCCGUGCCAGCAGCCGCCGUAAGAC